CUGGCUCAGGACGAACGGCUGGCGGCGUGCUUAACACAUGCAAGUCGAGCGAUGAAGCUCCUUCGGGAGUGGAUUAGCGGCGGACGGGUGAGUAACACGUGGGUAACCUGCCUCAUAGAGGGGGAUAGCCUUUCGAAAGGAAGAUUAAUACCGCAUAAGAUUGUAGUACCGCAUGGUACAGCAAUUAAAGGAGUAAUCCGCUAUGAGAUGGACCCGCGUCGCAUUAGCUAGUUGGUGAGGUAACGGCUCACCAAGGCGACGAUGCGUAGCCGACCUGAGAGGGUGAUCGGCCACAUUGGGACUGAGACACGGCCCAGACUCCUACGGGAGGCAGCAGCGGGGAAUAUUGCACAAUGGGGGAAACCCUGAUGCAGCCAACGCCGCGUGAGUGAUGACGGUCUUCGGAUUGUAAAGCUCUGUCUUUAGGGACGAUAAUGACGGUACCUAAGGAGGAAGCCACGGCUAACUACGUGCCAGCAGCAGC
rnacentral:rRNA from 1 species